rnacentral:rRNA from 1 species
GACGUAGGGGCGAGCGUUGUCCGGAAUUACUGGGCGGUAAAGGGACGCGUAGGCGGUCAAUCAAGUCAGGUGUAAAAGAACCCCGGGCCGUCAACCGGGGGUAGGCAUCUGAAACUAGAUUGGCUAGAGGGCAGGAGAGGGGAGGUGGAAUUCCCGGUCGUAGCGGUGAAAUAGCGUAGAUAUCGGGAGGAAUACCAGUGGCGAAGGCGACUCUCUGGACUGGCCCUGACGCUGAGGCGCGAAAGCGUGGGGAGCGAACAGGAUUAGAUACCCCGGUAGU